UACGUAGGGGGCAAGCGUUAUCCGGAUUUACUGGGUGUAAAGGGAGCGUAGACGGUGUGGCAAGUCUGAUGUGAAAGGCAUGGGCUCAACCUGUGGACUGCAUUGGAAACUGUCAUACUUGAGUGCCGGAGGGGUAAGCGGAAUUCCUAGUGUAGCGGUGAAAUGCAUAGAUAUUAGGAGGAACACCAGUGGCGAAGGCGGCUUACUGGACGGUAACUGACGUUGAGGCUCGAAAGCGUGGGGAGCAAACAGG
rnacentral:rRNA from 1 species